CUCGUUAUGGACUGAAAGUUUUGUGUCCCCCUCAAAUUCAUUUGUUGAAGACCUAAGCCCCAGUGUGAUGCUACAGAUGGAGCCUUUGGGAGGUAAUUAGCAUUUGAUUAGGUUAUGAGGGUGGGGCCCUCAUGAUGGGAUGAGUGCCCUUAGACAAAGAGACACAGGGGAGCUUGUUUUCUCUCUCCUUGAGUGCCCACAAAGGUGACGUCCUAUGAGCACAAAGGGAGAUGGUGACUGCCUACAAGCCAAGAGAAGAGGUCUCAGAAUGAAACGUCUCACUGGCAUCUUGAUCUUGGACGUUCCAGUCUCCAGAACUUAGAGAAGAAAAUCAACAGAAGCGAAGUUGACAGCAAAGAAAACAUUUCUGCCUAUGACAAUGUGUCUGGAACCUGAAGCAUUGACCUUGAAGCACUGGUCUAUUCAUUUGUGGAUGGUUUAAUCAAUGGAUCCUUUUAACAGCUGCGUCAUUUCUCAUUGAAAGAAAGGCCUGUGGACAUGGCCUAAGGGGUGGACUAUGGCAGCCAUGAGAUGUGCUUCACAGACUUCAGCUUCAGGGAGUGUGAGUAAUGAUGUCAAGCACCUUUUCUUGUUUAUUGGCCAUUUAUG
rnacentral:lncRNA from 1 species